rnacentral:lncRNA from 1 species
GACUGUGCAAGUAGGGCAGAUACAGUCUGAGAUAUACUAAUAUGCUAUUUGCCACCAUCCAAACUCCUACCACUGUCAGCUCAAUAAAAUUUCAACUGUUCAAAAAAUCUCCUCUGAUGGGAUGCCCAGAUGGUGUUCGUAUUCUGAUCAUCUUCAAUAGAUAUAGCCAAAUACUAUCCAACAGUAUACAUCGAAAAUCUAUAUAGUAAAAAAACUCCACAGUGAUUGAGGUUCUAU